rnacentral:rRNA from 1 species
CCAGGGUGGCAGCAGUGGGGAAUAUUGGACAAUGGGCGAAAGCCUGAUCCAGCCAUGCCGCGUGUGUGAAGAAGGCCUUCGGGUUGUAAAGCACUUUCAGUGGGGAAGAAAGCCUUGGGGCUAAUACCCUCGAGGAAGGACAUCACCCACAGAAGAAGCACCGGCUAACUCCGUGCCAGCAGCCGCGGUAAUACGGAGGGUGCGAGCGUUAAUCGGAAUUACUGGGCGUAAAGCGCGCGUAGGCGGUCUGAUAAGCCGGUUGUGAAAGCCCCGGGCUCAACCUGGGAACGGCAUCCGGAACUGUCAGGCUAGAGUGCAGGAGAGGAAGGUAGAAUUCCCGGUGUAGCGGUGAAAUGCGUAGAGAUCGGGAGGAAUACCAGUGGCGAAGGCGGCCUUCUGGACUGACACUGACGCUGAGGUGCGAAAGCGUGGGUAGCAAACAGGAUUAGAUACCCGAGUAGUC